UCACCGCUCCUCAGCGCCGCCGCCCCGUUCCCUCCUCACUUCCGCCUCUGCGCACUGACUCCCCGCUCUCCUCCAAUCACAGGAGGCGAGAGGCGGGAUUGCGCUUUUUCUACGCUUCUCAUUGGUUCCUCCGACCGGCCGUCUCCUUUCCGGCGUUCCUAUUGGUGGAAAGAAAGGAGAGCGGGAAGUUCGCGGCGGGUCGUAGCGCUGAGGGAAAGGAAUGGGAACGGAGGGAGCGGAGCGGUUCUGAGGGUCCAAACAGAACCGGAACCGAACCGAACCCAUGGAGCGGCUGUGCGAACUGCGGGCGAUGCUGAAGGGCUGGGAGGCGGUUUUCGAACGGGAAAACGGCCGGAGACCGGGAAAGGCUGACGUGGCAGCAGCUUCAGAGGACACCAAGCGGCUGUACCGGGAGUACCGGGAGCUGAAGCAGCGGACAGACCCCGCAGAGCAGAGCCCAGUGGCAGAGCAGG